rnacentral:miRNA from 1 species
UAGUACUGCAAUGUAAACAUUGCAGUUUCUCUAAAACUGCAAUGUUUUACAUUGCAUGGCUA